UUGCUUUCUUCAGUAGACUGCUCCCAGAAACAGAGUGUCAAGCAAAGACCAUCUGAAGUUCCAAGAACAGGGAUUCUAAUGUGGAUCAUGUACCUAAGAAAUGCUGGAUCUACUCUAUCCCUAUGGAUUGUAUUAGAGAUCCUGGAUUGGUUCAAUAUCCGGUUUAAGGAUGCCAGCAGGCCCAUGAAGGUGGAGGACCAAAAGGAGGUCCUCCCAUACUGAAGAAGCUGCAGACUGAAUCUAAGGGACACCAUCUUGCUGUGCCUAUGGUAUUUGUGUGUAGAUGGAGAGCGGUCACCAAUCCUCUCUCUUUGACUGGGUCUAAGAGCCUAUUUGAUUUACAACCACUAAUGAGUCUAAACAAGAAGAGGCUCUUGUCUUAAGGUGAUGAUAAUUAGGUACAAGUUACGUUAGCUAAUUAGAUAUUGUCACUAAGAUCACUGGUGACAUAGAUGACACAUCUGUCCUCUUCGAAAUCCAGAGCUAUUCUUCCAAUGUCUCCACUCAAGUCUGUAUGAUAUUAUCAGAUUAGGUAGAGUUAAUAGCUAAAUGCUAUUUUCCAUACAAACCCUUCCAAAAUGUUUACCUUUAUACAACAUAUCCUCAAGGUUUCAUUUUCCUUGUUAUUAACAUUUGUACACAAAUAAAUAUAUGAUUUCAGAAAAUCAGGCUGCCUAGAGGUUUUACAAUUCUUUCAGAGCGUUUUCACUUCAAAUAUUGGAAGAUUGGUAGGCCUUUGCCUUCAGGGCUUCUGACCUUGACUCUGUCUUGACCCUGUGUGGUCUAUGAACUGUCUUUCCACUGGAGGAUGUUUUAUCUCUUUGAUGUCCUUCUCACAGGAUUUUGUUCCUGUUAACCUGGUGUUUGUUUAUUCCCUUUUCUGGAGGACCCUAUUGUCAUGAAUUUUGUUAAGCAAUUCUUCCCUGCUGAUUGCCCCAUGGGCAUCUUUAAUCCUGUGAAUUUCAAUCAUGGAAGACAGCUGCUUCAUGGAAACACAUCCUUUCUUCUUUGCAGACCCACAGAUUUUGGAAUUAGGUAAUUUGUUUUUAUUGAUCAUUUCCUCAAUCUUUUUUUUAAAUACUCUUUGGGGGAUGUGGGCAUCGCUGACUUGCCAGCAUUCAUUGUCCAUCCCAACUCGCUCUUGAGAAGGUUUUAGUGAACUACUUUCUAGAUUUGCUGCAGUCCACCUACUGUGAGGUGACCCACAAUACCAUUAGAGAGGAAAUUGCAGGAUUUUGAUCCAGCAACAGUGACGGAAUGGUCCUUCGAGAUGGAAGUGGUCGUGGUCUGCUUUCUGUGCAAUAAUAGGCAGGU